rnacentral:rRNA from 1 species
CAGUCGCCGCGGUAAUACGUAGGUGGCAAGCGUUGUCCGGAAUCAUUGGGCGUAAAGGGAGCGCAGGCGGGCAUGUAAGUCUUUCUUAAAAGUGCGGGGCUCAACCCCGUGAUGGGAAAGAAACUAUGUGUCUUGAGUACAGGAGAGGAAAGCGGAAUUCCCAGUGUAGCGGUGAAAUGCGUAGAUAUUGGGAGGAACACCAGUGGCGAAGGCGGCUUUCUGGACUGCAACUGACGCUGAGGCUCGAAAGCCAGGGGAGCGAACGGGAUUAGAUACCCCCGUAGUCCCUGUCUCUUAUACC